AGAUCAAUUGUUCAAUUUCGGAGACAUUUCCAGGAAAAAUGAUACAGAAAGGUAUAGGAUUUGCUUGACAGAUGGCCAAUAUUUGGCAUGUGAUAACUAGUUCAACAAUUUUGUGUGUGAUGACUCAAGCAAUGGAUGUAUGACUAUUAGUUUUAUUGGGAACGACUAUUCAGCAUCCAUAGGUAUGAUUACUUUUGACUGACAUGACAUAAGCAAAUGGAAAUGUCAGAAAGCAGCAGGGAAAUGUAUGGAAGCAACUGAUUCAUGUCCAAAAUCAUUUGCAGUUUGUUCAGAGAGAGGAGAAAUUGCUACUAUGAUGUGCACAAAUUACUGAGUGUUGUGGAGGUUGAACUAAUAGUUAUGAGAAUUUCAAUUCUGAUCUGAGAAAUGCACCAGAGCGACUGAGAAAAACUGUAAAACUAACAUAUCAAAUUUGAUUUCCCCCCAUGCUCCCGAGUAGUGGUAUGACCCAAUUUGCAGGUCUCCACAUAAGCUUGCUCCGCCCCUUUUCCACCUUUCAGCUCAUCCACCAAGGGACUGGGAGCAGCUGCCACUGAGGAACAUCCGUGAGGUACAUGAGGGGGACAUCUUUGGUUGCCAGUCUUGAGGAACACCAUAUCCAUAUAUGAGGGAUGGAGGGUCCAAAUACUUAUUUUACACUUAAUAGAGCGCUAUGGAGAAAAGCUUCUUGGUCAGAAGAAGGACACUCCUGGGACACUGCACUGUGCUGGCCCAAGUAAAAUGACUCCAGUGGCAGCUCCUAAAUUGUGUGCGCUGGGGUGAUGAAAACAAAGAGGACCAGUCAAAAAUGUUUGAUUUCUUCUAUUUUUCCAAAGCUUCUGCUCUUUGUACUUGUUUAUUUUACAAGAAAUCUACAGAAAAGUAAAGUUUUUGCUUAUCCAAUUUAAUUACCUGCAACUGUUUUUGCUUUCAGCCUAACUUCAGGAAUAAAGGCAAUUUUAGCAUCAUGAAUAGUAGAUCAGCUUCCAUGUUUAAAGGACUGCCAUGGCACAGGACUUCAAUGGAUACACACAACAACAAUUAAAAAACCUAAAUAUUGGGCGGUUUUUCAAUCAGUAUACUGAGUGUCAUUGUGAUUAUAAAAAUAAAUAUACAGUUUGUGUGUACUCAGUUUCCAUAUCUUUAAAAGAUGCAUGCACAUUAUAUGUCACUCAUUCAAGUGGCAUCUUCAGUCAUAUGCACAUUAUAGAUGCAUAAAUAAUAACAUUUGUUUAAAUCUAUUGCGAAGUUGGCAAAAAGGUUUGUACAACCUUGUGACAGUGUAAAGUGUAUGAAACAUAAUACUUGAUCUUGGUUUAGUCCAUCUCCUAACAAUUAAUUGCCAGCAUUCACAACCACAGACUGGUCUACUUUGUUGUUGUUUUGUCCUCUCUGAGCAAAUGUCAGGCAUAGUGUUGGAGCUCACAGCUUCAGGAUUACAGACAACUUAACAUUAACCAAACAACUACGACUUAAAUAUGAUCAAAUGAAUGAGGGCUCAUUUAGCUAUGAUGGAAGCGUAAAAUGUUGCUCAUAAAGGUGCAUGAAAUGAUCUGAGAGGGAGAUUCCCUCUUGCCACUUUUCCAAAGUGUUGAUGUAUGUUAAAUACUGAAAAAAUCAUCAAUUCAUUAGUUGUUGUUUUUUUAAGUUAAGAGUUUUUACAUGUAAUUUGUUCUAUAAACAGAGCUGGCUUUACAUA